UGGAGGUAAGAUGAAGCCGGAGUACCCGGAGGGAACCCACGCAGUCACGGGGAGAACAUGCAAACUCCACACAGAAAGAUCACGAGCCCAGGAUUUAACUCAGGACUACUCAGGACCUUCGAUUUGUGACGCACAUGCACUAACCCCUGUUCCACCGUGCUGCCCUAUAUCUGCUAAAAACUUGACACAACCUAUACUUCAAAAGACAUUUAAUCCUUUUAACCUCUCACAGAUCAGUUUAUAUGACAACAUUUUUUAAGCGUACAUCCAUGUUAGUCUGUGGAAUUUACAACUCAUGUUUAGCAAAACAGGAGAUGUUACAGGUCAGCAACAUGAAUUCUAUAUGUGAUCACUUGUCAUGUACUCAUAUUGUUUGAACUAAAAAAGACUUCAGUGUGUUUCAUAUAAGGUCCUCAUAUUUUUCUGAACCACAUUAGUGUGUGUUACAAUGUUUAAUUCAAAGCUUUAAAAUGAGUGUUUCAAUCCAGGUCCUCAUAUUUUCUGAACCACAUUUUAGUGAAUGUUACAUUCUUAAAUAAUAGUCUAAGAGCUAAAACGCUAUAAUAAUCUUUACUGUUUAUGUAGAAUUAUAUGCUCAGAAUAUUAUCAACCAAAAGUGGUUGUUAAUGUUAUAAUUAAUUAGUUCUGACAUUAUAUUUUUGUGUUUUGUUGCAGACACCAACUGUUGGGGUUCUAUCUCAACAUUCUCCAGAUUCAGAUGUGAGCGAUAAACCGACUUCAUCCCUCCAACAGAAACCAACUGUUGAGGUUCCAUCUCAACAUUCUCCGGAUUCAGAUGUGAGCCAUUAACUGACUUCAUCCCUCCAACAGAAACCAACUGUUUGAGGUUCUAUCUCAACAUUCUCUAGAUUCAGAUGACAGCCAUAAACCGACUUCAUCCCUCCAACAGAUUGACAGCAGGACAAAUCGCUGGAAGUGGGUAUGUCUCAAGCUUCUUCCACUUGGUCCACUCCAAAGCGGGCUGCAAAGGGGAAGAAGUGGAAGGAGUUGAAUGACACAUGUUGCAUUUUGUAACUGGCAACAAAGUACCAGGUAAAAAAGAUUGUGAAGCCUGCC